UCUCAGGGAUGCCUAAGAUUGAAGAUCCUUCCUGAUCUUCAAGACCAGAGCUGUCGUGGAAUGGGCAUGCCUGACUGAUGGACAACAGCCGUCACUGACUGACCUUCUACUUCCAGAGUCCUUACCCGUUCUAAAUUUUGUUUCCAAGUCAGUCGCUCAAUGUGGCCUUUUACUGCCCGUGUAAAUAGUGGAUUUUGGACACUUAAGGGACAUGACAACUAAGCACCAGAGAAAAUGAUACAGACACUAAGAAUUUUCUUUCCCACACUGCUCUUGCCAAGGACCCAAGUUCAAGUCUAAGCAUCCACAUCGGGUGGUUUAUGACCACCUGUAACUCCAGCUCCAGGGGCAACUGCACUCUUGUCCAUACCAUCCCAAUAUACACAAUUAAAAAUAAAAAUAAAUAUUAAAAAUA